rnacentral:lncRNA from 1 species
CGUCUGUACAAUUUCCCCCUUCUCCUCAUUGUUCUUGUUCUUUUAUUUACAAUUCAAUUAAACUUUAAAUUCAUUGAUUCAAGUUACUGUUUUUUUGCUUUUGGAUUCAGGCUCCUACUUGGAAUACGCUAAAGAUGUCAUUUUUUAUGCUGGGUUUGUGUCUUGCUGUUAUGUUGGGCUUGGCUUUUUCCUCAAGUGACUUGUCUUUGACUCUCCAUGUUGCGUUCCUCUUUUUAAUAACUGGAACCCUCUUCGUACUUCUUAGCAGGUGUGUUUCAGCUUUUAUCGUUCAAUGUUGACAUUUGAGCUCUAUUUUUGUAUUGUUACUUUUGCCUACAUGUGAAUGCACUUGGAAUUUGUUACCUAAACUUGUAUUGCUAGAUUAAAGGAUUUAUAUAAAUAAAUAUGUAACCCGUUAUUACGAGGUGAUUUGACUCCGUGGAUCAUCUGCUGCUACUAAAUGCAGAGACACAAAUAUUAACUGGGAAAGUCAAAAGUACUAUGGAGAAACUAAACAUUGUUUGUUAGCUGACAUGGUCUUGUUGUCUGUUAAUUAGAUUGUUCAUUAAUGUGUGUUUGACCUUGUUGCGUAGUGUAGUAGUAAAACUGUUGGACUAGAAAAUCUUUUCUGACUUGAUAUUCUUUUGUAGAAAGUUGAAACUUUAAUGUUCUGUUAUUGAAAAUUUCAAUUUUGAAAUCUGAGAAUCUUCUGAUCAAACCUCUGGUUAAUGGUGAGAAAGGGAGAUAACUUGCCUUGUUUCCGAUAUUGGACAUGAAUCUGAUAUGUUGAUUGAGUCUGAGGUGAAAAUGCAUUCUGAUUGUUGUAAAUGCAAGUAAAGGACAAACCUCUAAGUUAAGAUUGAAUAGUUGUUUGACUUUCAGCUCUUAUUUUACAAAUCUAGGUCAGUAGCUGAUCAAGUAGCUAAGAUUACAUUCUGCUAUCUUGUAGUUUGUUGAAUCCAAAUUGUUUCACAUUGUCACAACUCGUCAAAGAAAAUAGUUGUGAAGCUUGUGCUAGCCUCAUUCAUUCCAGUGUGGAGCAGUCUAAAAUCAUGUGUGUUAUUUUGGAUGAGUAAUUUGCUUCAUCCAGUCCUGGAAUUCAUUUUGGCCCGCCGGGGCUUUGGCCUAGUGGUAAGAGCGCAGCAUCUGACAUGUGAGUAAGGCACACAUCAUGACUUCGACCCUACAAUAGACAAGAGUCUGGUAUUUAAGUUGAGAAAGGUAGAGGGACGGAACCCACCAUUCAUCGAGUUUCGAACCGUGCUCCACUCGCUCUCGGCAAUUUCUUGGUUAUUAAAAACAAGUUAUGGAAUUCAUUUGGUCACUUCCUUUUUUUUUUUAAUUUUUUGUUAGUAACUCAUUAGGUCAUUAGAGAAACUGUUUAACAUAGUUUUGUUGUAAAUUAACUGUCAACUUUCAUGGUAGUUUGGAGUUAAAGAAACUGCUAUCUCUCUCUCGUUUCCCCCUUACCGCAGUUGCUGGGUGUGGCAGGCCUGCUUUUGCCUACAGUGUGUAAAACUGCUACUUAUUCAACAUAGCAUCCAGCUUUUUGCAUUGUUACUAAAUUUAAGUUUCACUUGCUCCUAUGAACAAUUAUAUUAUUCAAUCACAUGACAAUAGUUGAAUUUACUGCAAAGAUUUAAUGCAUAGUUUUUUUCUCCUUUAGGUUUCUAGCAGAGACUGGGUUUGUUUCUGUUGAACAUCAAAUGGAGGAAAUAGGCUUAGCACCCAGAGAUGAAGAUAAAAGCAAGAAAACCAGUUGAUGCUUUUAUAAUCAGAUUUUAUCAUUACAUGUCAUGACGUUUCCAAGAGUAUUACAUUUUGCACGGUACUAUCAUGAUGAUUGAAAGCUCGACCUUGACCUUCUUGUUAGAGAAAAAAAAGAAUGGGCGACGUAAAUCCUGUGCUCAAUAUAUGCUAUCCUCCAACCAAGGUCCUGUAAAAUGCUCCUGAACUGAACAGCUCUUUCAAUUUUCCUUCGGUUCCUUCUCCUUCGACUUUCCUUUUUUCUGCUUGAUGAAGCAGAAACACAAACAGCAAGGAAGCUGCAACAGGAAUUUCAUUUUUCUCUUCUUUAGUCACCACAAAUGUUACUGAAAAUCAUUAUGUAUAUAUGAGGGCUUCCUGCCCUUGAUCUGUAUUCUCUCUUUUAUUUAUUUUUUUCUCCUGUGAUUCUAUUCCUAUUCCCUACAGAUAAGAAGAUGCCUUUCUUAGGAGCCAUAAGCUAACCAAGUUGAUGUAUGCCAGAGGAAAAAUGGUUCGUUUCGCUUUCCUUUCUUCAAAGGUAAGGUUUCUUAAUACAAACCAUAAGUUAUUUUCAAGGAAGUCCAAAUCUUUAAGCUAUCAUUCAAUAUAGUAGUAUUAUCUUUUUGGUCAUAGAACUAGAAUGAGUUGACGAUUUAUUAUAAUACUUGAAUUUUGUUCGUCUGGUAAUGUUAUUAAAACUAAUAUUAUUACAAAGUUAUAACAGUAAGUUAAUCUCGUUGAGUGUUCUGUUUUCUAACGCAGAAUUGAAAAUUCUCAAUGACAUAUACCUAAAGUCACCUGCUGUCAAGAUAGGGGAGGCCUAGGUUCCGUAUUUUACCUUUUGAUCCAAAUAUUUAUUAGUUAUGGUUCAUUUAGUUUCUUGCACUAAAAAAACUGUGCAGACUGGUCUUAUAUUCCAUUUUAAAUGUAAUUUUAUCGAUAUGAUUCUCAUAGGAGAUCAACAAAAUAUAACUCAUGAGAUUGGUAAAUAAAACAUAGUAACAUAUUUUUGUAAGAUUAUUAAUGAUGGGAAUCCUAUCGAUAAGAAGAGGCAUAAGCAUUGCCUCUCGAUUGAAUCUGUCUCCCCAACACACUCUUGAUACGAAAAAAAACCUCUUGCCAUAGAGGAGAAUUAAAUUUUUAUCCUCCCUUGAAUUUGAACUAGUCAAGAGAGAGAUGGACUCGCACCAUAUUUUUAUGAAUCGAAACCCCCAAUUAAAGAUGAAAUUCUAGAACCCGAUUUUCUUCUAUUCAAAUUUUUAUGGUUCAUUUAGUUUCUUGCACUAAAAAACUGGGCAGACUGGUCUUAUAUUCCAUUUAAAACGUUAUUUUAUCGAUAGGAUUCUCAUUGGAGAUCAAUAAAAUAUAACUCAUGAGAUUGGUAAAUAAAACAUAGUAACAUAUUUUUGUAGGGUUAAUAAUGGCGGGAAUCCUAUCGAUAAGAAGAGGCAUAAGCGUUGCCUUUCGAUCGAAUCUAUCUUCCCUGGCCUCCCCAACAAACUCUUGAUACAAGAAAAACCUCUCGCCAUAGAGAAGAGAUCAGAAUUUUGGUCUCUUCGAUCAUCCUCCAUUGAAUUUGAACUAGUCGCAUCAUAUUUUUCUGAAUCGAAACCCCCAACUAAAGAUGAAAUUUUAGAACUUAAUUUUCUUCUAUUCAAAUUUCAACGGAUCAUAAGAGAUCUUUCUCAAGCACUAUUCUGCCGUGAAAUUCUAGUUUCUGGCAUAAAAUGCUGCAUUACUAGUGCGUAUUUGAUUACAAUUUUCAAAAUCUUCUACGAAGGUGCUUUUACAUGAGAGAUUCUAUUAAAACCAACGUUUUAUUGAGAGUUAACUAUUUCAAAAAAGUCACUCUAAGGAAUCCCUUUAUUAGAGCUAUAUGUAUGAUGUAACUUUAGUUUUGUACUUGCGGGCAUAGUUUAACAAUUGAUGUUUGAUGAAGUUUGAAUGAAGACGGUAAAGAUUAUGUUUGCGAUUGAAUAUAAUUAAAAAACUUAAUUGAUUUUUCUCUUUCUGUCUUAAGCUUUGAUGAGUAAGUGUUAUCACCUACUUUUACUGGUAGAGGGAUGUGGGUGUUGGAAUUAGGGGCAGGGGUGUACAAAGGAAAUCGACAAAUCGUACCAACCCGAUAAUCCGAGUCAAACCGAGAAAAAAAAUCCAAUUAUGGGUUGGUUUGAUUUGGUUUAGUGUUGGAAAAAAAACCCAACCAUAAUUGGUUUGGUUUGGUUUGGUUUUAAUUAAAGAAAGUCAAACCGAAACCAAACCAACCCGACAUUACAUAUAUAGAAAUAAAUAGUGCUAACAAAAGUCCAAACCAAAAAUCAAAUCAAUACUAAUGCUAACAAAAGACAAUCAAUUCAAUACUACGAACGACAAUGUAUUGAAUAUCUAUUUUUUGUUUUGCAANNNNNNNNNNNNNNNNNNNNGUUUAGUCAUGUAUUUAAUACUCCCUUAUUAGUCUACUUAUUUUAGCAUGACUUAGUACUCUUAGAUUAUGUUUAUUUCUAUUAUGGCUUUUUAAUUAGCAAUAUUUAUAUUACAUAAUUUUAUUGUCUUUAUUGUUGAAUAUUUUAGGCUAAUGCCAUGACAUAUCUUAUAUUUUGUAUUAUUUUCUUGGACAAUACUUUAUAUAGUUGUAUCUUACUAGGACUAAAAAUAUUCUGAGCAUAAUUUAUAUGUUUUGUUCUACGAAGAUUUUACCGGGAAAAAAACCCGAAUAAUCUGAAAAUUCGAGAAAACCCGAGAGUGAAAAAUCCGAGUUUUAUUGGUUUGGUUUGGUUUGGUUGUUAGAUUUAAUAAUUCGACACAUUUGGUUUGGUUUGGUAAUUGUAAAAUCUGAAUUAACCCGACCUAUGUACACCCCUAAUUAGGGGUGUCAAUGGUUCAGUUCAGUCAGUUAUUUUAUAAAAUUAGUACUACACCAAUUUUUCGAUUUUUCCAUUUUAUAUAACCAAAAUUAGUGUCAUGCCCCGAACCUGGACCUGGACGUAAUACGACACUCGGAGCCUGAUACAUGUGACCGAGCGAAUCAACUGGCUGGCUGAAUCAACAUGUGAUAUCAUAACAUACUAAAUGCGAAAGAUAAACUAACACAUGCUGAUAUACUGAAAGUCUGAAUGAUAAAAGUCAAAGUGUGGAAACACUAAUACAAGUCUGAAACUUGUCUGUAGCCAACAUUACUUAACACAAAAGCUUGUGACUCUGUCUAAUUGAUACUCUAGUAUAUGAAGCCUCUAUUUGAGUACUGAAAACGCUGACUGUCUGUAAAUACUGAAGACUGUAGUAAUGAUAAUGCCUCGAAAAAAUUGGGGAUCACCAAAUAGCUGGUACGAGAAUCUUAGCACUCUGAAUCGUCAACCUGUAAAUCAUUACCUGCAUCGUGAGAUGCAGGCCCCGAGCAAAAGGGACGUCAGUACAUUUGAAUUGCACUGGUAUGUAAAGCAACUGAAAGAAAGAAUUAUAAAUGCUAAAACUGAAACUAAGCUGAUAACUGGGAAUUGAUAAUUGGUAACUGAAAUGAUUACUAUUGAAACUGAAACUGAACUGAUAACCGAACUGAUAACUGAUAACUGAUAACUAAACUGGAAAAAGGAAAGUAAGAAUAUGAAUACUCCCUCUUCUGAAUGAUGAACAACAUGUUUAUCUGAAUAAGCUACGGCCUCGGGCCCAAUAUAUAUGUGCACAAGCUACGGCCUCAGGCCCAAGUAUACGUAUACAUAACUACGGCCUCAGGCCCAAAAAUGCAUAAAGCAUAAAUUACGGCCUCAGGCCCAAACGUGCAUAAAACAUAAGCUACGGCCUCAGGCCCAAACAUGCAUAAAGCAUAGACUACGGCCUCAGGCCCAAGUAUGCAUAAAGCAUAUAAACUACGGCCUCAGGCCCAAAUACAGGUGUUCAACAUUCAGGAAUUUAAAAUCAGAAACUGAGAAUCAUACUGCAAUACAUGAUAGUGAAAUAUUGAAUCACAUUGAGUUACAUGAUACUGGAAUACUGGAUCAUACUGGGUUACAUAAUACUAGAAUACUGAAUGGGACUAGACUGAGACAUGUAUUCUUGAACUGAUUAUGAAUACUGAAAUUUCAACUGUAUAUGGCAUACUGAGUAAUCUAUACUAAGACUCGGGAGCAUCAACCCAAGUCUAUAUUGAAUACGCACCGAGCUCACACGUUCUGAAUGAAAGUCAUGAGCGAGUUAUGAAGCUAGAGAAUAGAAGUUCUACAACUGUUCAAGGAACUAGGCUUAACUAUAUUUCUGAGGCAAUUAGUAACGUCAUAAAAGAAACGUAGUGUAGGGAGAAUCAUUAACUUUCUCAAACAUAGAGAGUUAGCCUCACAUACCUCAAUUUCACCCCUUAGUGAUACUACAAUGAUCCACAACACUAAGAACCUUCAAUCUACAAUAGAACAUCCAAUGGAACUAAUAUUAGUAACAAAUUCCAUAACUUAAGUCAUUUAGGCAUAUUAUCAAACACAGUGUAGACAUAAAUCUCUACAUCUCAUUGCCAUAUAAUUAGUUCAUCUAACUACCACCAUUCAUCAACAAUUUAUCCCACCAUCUUGAUUAACCAAUUUAUAUCUUCCAAAAUCACAUAUAUGACCAUUCAUCCACACCCAACCAACAAGGUUCCAUUAAAUAAACAUCUUUCAAUCUCUAUAAUAGUUGUUUAAUCAAAUUGGGAACUUAUGGUUUCCAAUCACCAUACCAAAAGUUUCAAUACUUAUUCAUACUCAUAUUCCCUUAUUAAAUCUAUACAUGAAAGUCUAAGGGUGUAGGAUUACCUUUUUGGAAGAAAUCUUGCAAAACCUUCUUUUGAGUUCUUGAAGAUCUAAGUAUUUUAUGUGUAGAUUUCAUCAAUACUAGUAUAUAAAUUAUAGAAUUCAUACCAAGAUAAUGGGGAUUGCUUACCUUGAAGGUGGGAGGGGUUGGAGGUCUUGAGAUGGUGGAGGAAAACCCUAAAAUUCGUCCAAAUGAAGUGGGGAAAAUAACCCCCGAAGGUUUUAUAUCAAAAUAGGGUCGGUUGACAAAAAACGAAGAUUUGCACAGCCGCGGCGCAUGGGGAGACGCAUGGAGCGGCGUGGUAAUGAAAAAUGUAUUUAGAAUCGAAAUUUGGAGGUGCUCUGUUAAUUUACACAGCCGCGCCGCAUGAGGCGGCACAUGGGGCAGCACGAUAGUGUAAAAGUCUGUGCUGCUUUUGGUAAUUUGGUCAUAACUUCUGGUAGGAGUGUCCAAAUGACGAACGGUUUGAAGCGUUAGAAACUAGACUCAAAGAUCUUUCAUUUGAUAGAUUGUGAAUCACAUAAUACCUUGUAUAAAUGUAGAUAUGCUCGUCCAAAAUAUAGUCUUGUGCGUGCUCAUUUAGAAUUUUAGUUUAUCAUGUAAUUUUUCAACUUGGCUUAGACUUAGGUCUUUCCUUGGAUCCCAAAUCACUUAUGAUAUGCCUCGUACACUUAUUAUCACAACCAAUUAAUAACCAUCAUAUUAAUACUCAUUUAAUGCAUCCACAACUGAUUCAAAUUUACGGGGUGUUACAAUUAGACUUUUCAGAAUCAUCCCAAUCAUCUCGAUUUUUCUUCGGUAUCGGUAUGGUUCGAUUAAUUUUUCGGUAUUUUUUUUAAAAUGUCAUGUAAGAGUCCCUAGUAGAAGUUAGAAUGCCAUAAAUAUGUACUUGUAUAGGACUUUGGCAAAACUCUAAAGACAUUUUUACUAUUUAAAAAAUGGUAAUCAAGUUGUAACUCAAAAAUAGAGUUUAUUACAAGAUUAGCAUCCAACAAGAGAAAUCUAAAUCAUACGAGGGAAAAGAUAUCUAAUACCUUGUGGCUUGCUAGUUGUUAUUCAAAAUGUUGGAACUAAUUUAGUUUCAAUAAGCGUAUCAGAAUAGAUUUAAAAGUUGGAAUUUUUGGGUGUUAAUUACUUGUAGCUAGGGGUGUACAAAGGAAACCGACAAACCGCACCAACCCAAUAAUCCGAGUCAAAGCGAGAAAAAAACCCAACUAUGAUUUGGUUUGGUGCUGGGAAAAAACCCUGACCAUAAUUGGUUUGGUUUGGUUUUAACUAAAGAAAGUCAAACCGAAACUAAACCAACCCGACAUUACAUAUAUAUAAAUUUUAGAUAUAUUUAAUAUAUAAAUAUACUUAUUGUGAUGUAAUUUAUAAAUAUUUCUUAAACUUUUUCAUAAUUUUAUCUUUUAAGUUAUUAUUUCAAGGUUGAACUUAGAACUUUUGAAUGUUCCAAUAGGUUUUAUAGUCAUUAAUAUUAGUUAACUUAAAUAAUGCUAACGCAAGCCUAAACCAAAAUCAAAUCAAUACUAAUGCUAACAAAAGACAAUUAAUUCAAUACUACGAACGACAAUGUAUUGAAUAUCUAUUUUUUAUUUUGCAAUAAUUUAGAUAAAAACGCAUAACUUAUUUUUAUUUUUUCUUUAACGUUCAGUCAUGUAGUAAUUAAUACUCCCUUAUUAGUCUACUUAUUUAGCAUGACUUAGUACUUUUAGAUUAUGUUUAUUUUUAUUGUGGCUUUUUAAUUAGCAAUAUUUAUAUAACAUAAUUUUAUUGUCUUUAUUAUUGAAUAUUUUAGGAUAAUAUCAUGACACAUCUCAUAUUUUAUAUUAUUUUCUUGAAAAAUAUCCUAUAUAGUUGUAUCUUACUAGGAUUAAAGAAAUAUUUUGAGCACAAGUUAUAUGUUUUGUGUUACGAAGAUUUUACCGGAAAAAAAACGAAAAACCCGAAAAUCCGAGAUUGAAAAAUCCAAGUUUUAUUGGUUUGGUUUAGUUUUUAGAUUUAAUAACCCGACACAAUUAGUUUGGUUUGAUAAUUGUAAAAUCCGAACCAAUCCGACCUAUAUACACCCCUACUUGUAGCCAUUUUUAUAAUUCCAAGGCCCAAUUUUUUUUAAUGCUUUGUUAGUUUUAAACGUAAUAUAUAAAAUAUAUGUUUUAUAUUUAUUCGGUAUGAUUGAGUUUUUUUCGGUUUAUUUUUAUAAAAUUUAAAACUGAUCUUAUUAUUUGGUAUGAUUAUAGAUUUAUAUAUGAAUCUACUAUUUUAUCGAAAAAAAUCUAAUAAUCGGUUUGAUAUGAUUCGGUUCGGUCGAUUUUUAUUUAAAUAUUUAUUGACACCCCUAGAUAAAAUAAUUGAGGACGUGCAAGUUAGUCCUGCACCGCAUUAUCGAAAAAUAGUUCUCCUCGAGUGAAAACGUCGAAGUGAGGUAAAGGGAAUAAACGACUCAUACACUGUUAGCUUAUAGUAGAUCAACAUUUGUCCAAAUUUACGUAACUUGUCCUAUGUGUUGAAAGUUAGAAGAGUGACAUAUAAGAAUGGGUCAAAAUAUUAAACCCAAGCUGAUCCAUAAAAGAUAAAAGAAAUUUGGUUAAAAAUUGGCUGAGAUGCAACCAAAUGGGUUGAUUCUUCACCCUAUAUUUUGGACGAAUAGUUUCUCAAUUCUCUUAGUAAAGCAUAACAUAACAAGAAAGAACUAAAUUAAUAGAGAGGAUUUUUCUGACACAUGUAUUCUUGGAGAAGUGGUAUCGAACUGGGCCGGGUUUGGUAAUUUUGUGACCCGUACUCAAACCCAUAUCGACUCUCAAGUCAAAAUUGACCCGAACAUUCUUUUGUAGAAUUGGAUCAUGAGUCAUGACAUGUACUUUUGCUGCCUGUCCUUCCUACCUUUUGAUAUGCUUGCAACAAAUUACUUACUGGAGUACUAUAAAUCUAGAAAUCUGAAAAAUCGAAUAUUGCUCAUUGAUCUUUUGACUUCAGCUUAAUUAAAAGUUUUGGAUUAGUGAUGCUCCUUAAAACAGAAUAUUAUGUUAAUAUUUAGAUAAUCUUACUAACUUACCAUAUUUGUCUACGUUUUUUAAAAUAAUUAUUUAAUAUUACAAUUCACUAUUUCGACUAUUCAAAUUCACGUUAUGUAAGACCCAUUUAACUCGAGCUCAGAACAUAUAUAGUUAAGGGUGAAAGGAUUACCUUCCACCAUAUCCAAUGGUUUCCUAACAUGAUUUGAGCUACUGAACUUCUUGAAUUUCGUAAUUUGCAUAUGAAAAUUCUACCAAUUAUUAAGUUACUGUUAAAAAUCAAUUAUUCUAAUGAAAUUUAGUAGGCAAUCCAAUUACUUAAAUAAAAAUGGUAUCUAGUUAACAAUAGUUUAAUUUCUUACCAAUGAUAUAUCAUCUUACUUGUUGCAUAUAGAUUGUAAUAAGAGUCACACAAUCUCAAUGCCAUGUGAUAUUAUUCCUUUUUUUUGUUGGGUAACUAUUUGAUGGUCAAUACUAAUUGAUGGGAUUAAAAAAAAAACCUUUAUGACCUUAGAAAAUGGUAGAUAGCAACUACAAUAAAGAUGUAAAUUAUAUCACGCCUUUAAUCUAUGCUAUCAACAGUCACAAUUUGUCAAGCAUAAAUUUAUUUAAUACCAUUAUCCUUUUCCAAACUGAAUAAAUAUGAUGGGAUUAAAUAAAUAACUGUAUGACCUCCGAAAAUGGCAGGUAGUUAGCAUCAAUUUAUCUCUAUUAUCUUCACUCACAGAAUCUCAAGUAUUACAAGUAUCUAAAUUAGAUCACACCCUUAAACUUUUUUUUUUAAUUGAUUGAUAACUCACUUUAAAAAAAAAACAUAAUUCUUUAAUAAUAACUUGUAAAUAGGCCACAUUAAGCAUGCCGUUUAGUCUAAAAUAGAUUUUAAAUACUCUAUACAAAGUAUUAUGCAUUGACAAUGUAAAAAAAUUAUACUGUCAUUUUUUUUAAAAAAAAAAAAAAAUGAGGGGAUGGGGGUUGUUUCUUGUUGAGAUAUUUAUGAGUUUUAACCGUCUUGUGGAGAGAUGACUUUGUGGGUUCAGAACUUUGCGUUGAAUUCAGAGCAAAAAUUGCUAAGAAACCGAAAAGGGACUUGCACAAAAUUAAUGAGUGAUUGUCCAAUUGUGAAAAAGUAACUUUCGAUUAGCUCAAAUUUAAGAAGGUUCACUAACUUUUAUCGUCACCUCUUUUGGUUCGAAGCUUCGGAGGUUUAAGUAUUGCAGUAAAAACUAUUGUCUGUUUGUCACCUAAAAAACAGUUCAUUUCAUUUUCUUCUUCUGCUUCCUUCUUAGAAUUGGCUUCUAUUCUGACUUUGCCUCAAAUGCAUUAAUACCUCUUUAUUUUGUUAUUUAUUAUUUAAGUAAAUACUGGACUAUAAAAAAAGGUAAAAUACUCAAAGGAUAACAAAGUGAAAAAGAACAAGAUUCAAUGGGAAUCCUUUUAUAUUUAUUUACAAUGUAAAUGAAUUUGUUAAAGAAAAUUAAAAUUUUAGUGCUUACAUAAUUUGAUUAACUAAAUUUUUUUUCUCCCUCCCCCUCCACCCAAGGAAAAGGAGAGACACAGCAUCACAAUUUUUUUUUUUUUAAAAAUUGAGGCUUUUCACCAAAAAUAACAAAAAGAAAAAAAAAAGGGGUAAACAAAGAGUUAGGGGUUAAAUAAAAAUGAGGAGAAAAUAAAAAGAAAAGGGAGAAAAAGGGGAAUAAGGAUGAAAAGAGAAAUAGCAGAGCUUCAAAUUCUGCGCAUUGUUCCAAUGAAGAAUUAAUAUAAAUAGUUGUUCACUUAUAUGUAUAGUUCAUGUAUAUUAUGUGUGUAAUUAUGUAUAAUCGAUGUAUAAUUCAUGUAUAACGACUAGAAAAAAUAAACAAUGAAUUAAUUCGGUUGUUUAUUUGCGUAAAGAUCUCACAAUUACUGGUAAAAUCUUAUCACUCAAAUCAUUUUCACCAUUGUCCAAUGGCCACCAUUUCUCUCUCUCCUCUUUUCCUUUUAAAACCCAAUAUAUAUACUACAUAUACAUAUAUAUAUAUAUAUAUUUUUUUUUUUUCCUUUCAUUUUUGCAUGGUACUUUCACUCGCUACUUCACUUGCUACAAAGCUUCCAGCUUUCAUUUCCACCACCUCAUUCUCACCUCAACUCUCUCAUUCUCUCCCUUCCAACUCUCUUUCAUCUCUCUCUCUGCAUUCUUGUUACUGUAAUCCAACUGAGAUUUUGGUUCUUGAGACUCUUUCCCUUCAUCUUUCCCCUUCUCUUUUCUGUGAUUAAGUUUUCUGGUGAUCAUGGCCAGUUUGCAGGCAAGACGCUCGUAAGUUUAUUAUGUGUUCACCAGUUAUUUUAUACGUACAUUUUUAAUGAUUGAUACUCUGUGCUUGUCUACUUUUAUUUUGAUUUUUGGUGUAUGUGAUUCUUUUCCCUUUGUUUGACUGUUUUUUGUCAUGCUUUUCUUUUAUUUGUUUGUGUUUUUCAGACUUGAACUUGUCAUUCUUGAUUACAUGACUAAGAGAGGUUUCCGCCAGAGUCGUGAGGUAUUCGCCACAGAAAUUCUUGCUAAUCCAGUUCCUGUUGGUAAGUAUCUCCUUUUAAUGAAUUCUAUUCUUUUAAUCAGAUGCUAAAAGCUGAUCCUAUGAUGAAUUAAGAUAUGUGCUCUAGUAACGAUUGUUCUUUACCUGAGAGGGUCGUAAAAUUCUCAUGCCUAGUUUAGUAAUUCUUAUAUAUGACCAUAGGUAGAUUACUGAUCAUGUUGUUCUUGAAAAUUUUGAUAAUAAGUUGAGGUCGCUCUCUUUGAUGCAUGUGGUACAAUUUGAUUACCUGAUGUUGGAUGUUUUUGAAACAGGGUCGUCUCAACAAGAUUGGGGGUAUAAAGCCAAAUUUCAGAGAGAGGCCCUAAGUAAGAAUAUCAACGACAAAUUUUCAAUGAAAAAAUAUAAAAUAAAGGUAGAAUUAUAAAAUCGGCUCAAGAAUUUGAUAAGUUGAUAUACAACAACAUAUCCAGUAAAAACCCACAAAGUGUGGUCUGGGGAGGUAGAGUGUACGAUGAACUUUUCUCUAUCUUGGGAGGUAGAGAGGUUGUUUCCCAAAGACCUUUAGCUCAAGAGAAAGCAUGACAAAAAACAGGUUAGAUAAGGACAAUCAAUUUAAUGCAGUAUGAAAAUGAAAGUAACGAAAGCGAAUAAGUCAUGAUAAAGUAGUCUACAAAGGAGCAGUAGCUAUCACAUAUAAAUAAGAUAAUCGAAGCACAAGAAAUAAUAGAUAGUAGUAGAAAUCAAAGAGUAAGAAACUAUUGAACAAGAUAAGUUGAUAUAAUUAUAUCGAAAACUGUUGCGUUGCUUCAAUAUAAUGAUUGGUUGUUGUAAUACUUGAUAUUUUGAAGAAGACAACUUGUAAACCGUGGUAAGUUGCCGAUUGAGAGACUUUUCAAUAUUGAGAAUAAAAAUAGUAAAAGAGAGAAUGAAAAAUGUAAGUAUAUAAAUAAUAAUGUGGGCCCGCAUAUUGCUAGGAUAUAAAUGAGGCAAAAAAAUAACUACCCUACCCAUGUAAAGAAACAAUUCAUAAAAAAAUAUUUCAUUCUCUAAUUAUUACAACGAUCCUCAUAUUAAAGUUAUCUUACUUUCGCUCCAAAAAUUCUUUUUAAAUUUAAAUGUACACAGAUUGUUUUUAAUAAUACAUAUACAACACAUCUUUAAGGAAAAAACGGGCCCCCAAAAAAGUUGGGGCCCAACGAUUGCUUUACUGGCCUUAUAGUCGAGCCACCUGUGUUUUGAAAGUACUGAAAGUACUGUAUUAACUGCCCUUCAGUAAUUUAGAGAGAGAGGAGAGAUGUAUAACGGAGUUGACGUGAUGUGUUAAUGUGAUACAGUUCUUUGGAGUAAUAAUUUUUGAUUUUGUGAUAUUGUUUCAGCUAUCAAUUCUCCUGAAGGAUUUCUGCAAGAGUGGUGGAAUAUGUUUUUUGAAGCUUUCAGCUCUAGGUUCCCUGAGGCUGCUGUACUAGCUACCGAAUCCUUUGAAAAGGUGUUACCCGUGGAACUUUCUAUACCAUGUUCAUGUUUAACUGAUGUGAAAUAAUUCUUGCUAACUAAAUGCUUGAUUUCUAAAUUCUCAGGUUGCACAGACAGUGAAGAGCAUUGUGUCUAAUAGUGGUCCUGCAAAUCCAUCCUAUGCUUCUAACCAUACAGGAGCAGACAUCUCUAAUGUGAUGGCAUCCUCUCCUAUAAUUCCGCCCCCUCAUUUGAUAGCAUCCGGCAGUCCUGAUCUUAUGGAUGCUAAGAUUUCAGAUUUAUUGUCAUCCAUUUGUGAAUUACCAAAUUUAUCUCCUCCAAGAGACAUGCCAUCAAGCUCACAGUUUCUUGAGAUGAGUGAAAUGGAUGGCAUGCUUCCAUUUGCAAGCAAUUCCGGGU